CGGCAACAGCUCAAAUUUGAAAUCUGGUCUCCUCGAGGCCCGAGUUGUAAUUUGCAGAGGGUGUUUCGGGAGCGGUGCUUGUCUAAGUCCCUUGGAAAAGGGCAUCACGGAGGGUGAGAAUCCCGUAUGUGACUCGCAACCAACCCCAUGUGAAACCCCUUCGAC
rnacentral:rRNA from 1 species